GACCGCUCCGGUGGCCUAGUGGUUAAACCGUCCGCCUCAGAUGCGGGAGGUCGCGGGUUCGAACACCGGUUGAGUUA